rnacentral:rRNA from 1 species
GAUGAACGCUGGCGGCGUGCCUAAUACAUGCAAGUCGAGCGAACGGACGAGAAGCUUGCUUUUCUGAUGUUAGCGGCGGACGGGUGAGUAACACGUGGAUAACCUACCUAUAAGACUGGGAUAACUUCGGGAAACCGGAGCUAAUACCGGAUAAUAUUUUGAACCGCAUGGUUCAAAAGUGAAAGACGGUCUUGCUGUCACUUAUAGAUGGAUCCGCGCUGCAUUAGCUAGUUGGUAAGGUAACGGCUUACCAAGGCAACGAUGGAUAGCCGACCUGAGAGGGUGAUCGGCCACACUGGAACUGAGACACGGUCCAGACUCCUACGGGAGGCAGCAGUAGGGAAUCUUCCGCAAUGGGCGAAAGCCUGACGGAGCAACGCCGCGUGAGUGAUGAAGGUCUUCGGAUCGUAAAACUCUGUUAUUAGGGAAGAACAUAUGUGUAAGUAACUGUGCACAUCUUGACGGUACCUAAUCAGAAAGACACGGCUAACUACGUG